UACGUAGGGUGCAAGCGUUAAUCGGAAUUACUGGGCGUAAAGCGUGCGCAGGCGGCUUUGCAAGACAGAUGUGAAAUCCCCGGGCUCAACCUGGGAACUGCAUUUGUGACUGCAUGGCUAGAGUACGGUAGAGGGGGAUGGAAUUCCGCGUGUAGCAGUGAAAUGCGUAGAUAUCGCUUGGAACGCCAAUGGUGAAAACAGGUUGCUGGGGGUGUGCUGACGCUGAGACACGAAAGCCAGGGGAGCAAACGGG
rnacentral:rRNA from 1 species